rnacentral:rRNA from 1 species
UCAAGUGAAGAAGCGCAUACGGUGGAUGCCUUGGCAGUCAGAGGCGAUGAAAGACGUGGUAGCCUGCGAAAAGCUUCGGGGAGUCGGCAAACAGACUGUGAUCCGGAGAUGUCUGAAUGGGGGAACCCAGCCAUCAUAAGAUGGUUAUCUUGUACUGAAUACAUAGGUGCAAGAGGCGAACCAGGGGAACUGAAACAUCUAAGUACCCUGAGGAAAAGAAAUCAACCGAGAUUCCCUUAGUAGUGGCGAGCGAACGGGGACCAGCCCUUAAGUUGUAUUGAGAUUAGCGGAACGUUCUGGAAAGGACGGCCAUAGUGGGUGAUAGCCCUGUACGCGAAAAUCCCUUUGCAAUGAAAUCGAGUAGGACGGGGCACGAGAAACCUUGUCUGAAUAUGGGGGGACCAUCCUCCAAGGCUAAAUACUACUGACUGACCGAUAGUGAACCAGUACCGUGAGGGAAAGGCGAAAAGAACCGCGGAGAGCGGAGUGAAAUAGAUCCUGAAACCGUAUGCGUACAAGCAGUGGGAGCCCACUUUGUUGGGUGACUGCGUACCUUUUGUAUAAUGGGUCAGCGACUUAUUUUCAGUGGCGAGCUUAACCGAAUAGGGGAGGCGUAGCGAAAGCGAGUCUUAAUAGGGCGUMUAGUCGCUGGGAAUAGACCCGAAACCGGGCGAUCUAUCCAUGGGCAGGUUGAAGGUUGGGUAACACUAACUGGAGGACCGAACCGACUACCGUUGAAAAGUUAGCGGAUGACCUGUGGAUCGGAGUGAAAGGCUAAUCAAGCUCGGAGAUAGCUGGUUCUCCUCGAAAGCUAUUUAGGUAGCGCCUCAUGUAUCACUGUAGGGGGUAGAGCACUGUUUCGGCUAGGGGGUCAUCCCGACUUACCAAACCGAUGCAAACUCCGAAUACCUACAAGUGCCGAGCAUGGGAGACACACGGCGGGUGCUAACGUCCGUCGUGAAAAGGGAAACAACCCAGACCGUCAGCUAAGGUCCCAAAGUCAUGGUUAAGUGGGAAACGAUGUGGGAAGGCUUAGACAGCUAGGAGGUUGGCUUAGAAGCAGCCACCCUUUAAAGAAAGCGUAAUAGCUCACUAGUCGAGUCGGCCUGCGCGGAAGAUGUAACGGGGCUCAAACCAUGCACCGAAGCUACGGGUAUCAUCUUWUGAUGAUGCGGUAGAGGAGCGUUCUGUAAGCCUGUGAAGGUGAGUUGAGAAGCUUGCUGGAGGUAUCAGAAGUGCGAAUGCUGACAUGAGUAACGACAAUGGGUGUGAAAAACACCCACGCCGAAAGACCAAGGUUUCCUGCGCAACGUUAAUCGACGCAGGGUUAGUCGGUCCCUAAGGCGAGGCUGAAAAGCGUAGUCGAUGGAAAACAGGUUAAUAUUCCUGUACUUCUGGUUAUUGCGAUGGAGGGACGGAGAAGGCUAGGCCAGCCUGGCGUUGGUWGUCCAGGUUUAAGGUGGUAGGCUGAGAUCUUAGGUAAAUCCGGGAUCUUAAGGCCGAGAGCUGAUGACGAGUGUUCUUUUAGAACACGAAGUGGUUGAUGCCAUGCUUCCAAGAAAAGCUUCUAAGCUUCAGGURACCAGGAACCGUACCCCAAACCGACACAGGUGGUUGGGUAGAGAAUACCAAGGCGCUUGAGAGAACUCGGGUGAAGGAACUAGGCAAAAUGGCACCGUAACUUCGGGAGAAGGUGCGCCGGUGGAGGUGAAGCAUUUACUGCGUAAGCCCCUGCCGGUCGAAGAUACCAGGCCGCUGCGACUGUUUAUUAAAAACACAGCACUCUGCAAACACGAAAGUGGACGUAUAGGGUGUGACGCCUGCCCGGUGCCGGAAGGUUAAUUGAUGGGGUUAGCGCAAGCGAAGCUCUUGAUCGAAGCCCCGGUAAACGGCGGCCGUAACUAUAACGGUCCUAAGGUAGCGAAAUUCCUUGUCGGGUAAGUUCCGACCUGCACGAAUGGCGUAACGAUGGCGGCGCUGUCUCCACCCGAGACUCAGUGAAAUUGAAAUCGCUGUGAAGAUGCAGUGUAUCCGCGGCUAGACGGAAAGACCCCGUGAACCUUUACUAUAGCUUUGCACUGGACUUUGAAUUUGCUUGUGUAGGAUAGGUGGGAGGCUUUGAAGCGUGGACGCCAGUCUGCGUGGAGCCAACCUUGAAAUACCACCCUGGCAACUUUGAGGUUCUAACUCAGGUCCGUUAUCCGGAUCGAGGACAGUGUAUGGUGGGUAGUUUGACUGGGGCGGUCUCCUCCUAAAGAGUAACGGAGGAGUACGAAGGUGCGCUCAGACCGGUCGGAAAUCGGUCGUAGAGUAUAAAGGCAAAAGCGCGCUUGACUGCGAGACAGACACGUCGAGCAGGUACGAAAGUAGGUCUUAGUGAUCCGGUGGUUCUGUAUGGAAGGGCCAUCGCUCAACGGAUAAAAGGUACUCCGGGGAUAACAGGCUGAUACCGCCCAAGAGUUCAUAUCGACGGCGGUGUUUGGCACCUCGAUGUCGGCUCAUCACAUCCUGGGGCUGAAGCCGGUCCCAAGGGUAUGGCUGUUCGCCAUUUAAAGUGGUACGCGAGCUGGGUUUAGAACGUCGUGAGACAGUUCGGUCCCUAUCUGCCGUGGACGUUUGAGAUUUGAGAGGGGCUGCUCCUAGUACGAGAGGACCGGAGUGGACGAACCUCUGGUGUUCCGGUUGUCACGCCAGUGGCAUUGCCGGGUAGCUAUGUUCGGAAAAGAUAACCGCUGAAAGCAUCUAAGCGGGAAACUUGCCUCAAGAUGAGAUCUCACUGGAACCUUGAGUUCCCUAAAGGGCCGUCGAAGACUACGACGUUGAUAGGUUGGGUGUGUAAGCGCUGUGAGGCGUUGAGCUAACCAAUACUAAUUGCCCGUGAGGCUUGACCAU